AAUAGUAGCUAUUCAACACCUUUCAAAAAACAAAAAUACAAAGCUAAGCAGGGUCGGACCUGGUUAGUACUCGGAUGGGAGACCACCUAGGAAGACCAGGUGCUGUAGGUG
rnacentral:rRNA from 1 species